GGCUCAGCGGCAAAGCCAGGCAAAAUGGCGGCGGUGGCGGCGAGGGGGUGCGGCGGCGCGGUUUGUCGCCGGGCGUGGCAGCGCGGCGUCGCCCGUAAAGCGAGAGGCGGGGCGGUGCCGGCGGGGAAGAGCGGUCUUGCACCAUGGGUACCAGUUGUGGGUCUGGAAAUUCAUGCACAGAUCAGUUCCAACUCAAAACUUUUCUCUGGUUCCCAAGUCCAGUUUGCAGCACCUCCUAACUCUUUGGUAUCUUUUUUUGAUGCUUCUUUACCAGGAACUUUACCAGUUCUCAACAGGAGAUGUGUAGAAGCAGCAGUGAUGACAGGCCUGGCACUCAACUGCAGAAUAAACAAGAAGUCCUUGUUUGACAGAAAACACUAUUUCUAUGCAGAUCUGCCUGCCGGUUAUCAAAUCACUCAACAAAGAGUUCCUAUUGCGGUGAAUGGAAGUCUGUCAUACAGUCUCUGCAUAGACAACAAAAUGAGCCAGAUGGUGACCAAAACUGUGAGGAUUAAACAAAUACAGUUGGAGCAAGACAGUGGAAAGAGUCUCCAUGAUGACAUAAGGAGCCAGACUCUCGUUGACUUGAAUAGGGCUGGAGUUGGCCUUAUGGAGGUUGUCAUGGAGCCUGAUAUGUGCUGUGGGGAAGAAGCAGCUGCAGCAGUCAGAGAGCUUCAGCUCAUUCUUCAAGCACUUGGGAGCAGCCAGGCAGUCAUGGCAGAGGGUCAGCUGAGAGUGGAUGCCAAUGUUUCUGUGCAUCACCCUGGAGAGCCUUAUGGAGUGAGGACUGAAGUGAAGAAUAUUAAUAGCUUACGAUUCCUGGCAAAAGCAGUAGACUAUGAAAUACAGAGGCAAAUUGAAGAACUUGAAAAUGGAGGAACAAUUCUGAAUGAAACAAGAGCCUUUGAUUCCAAGCUUGGGUGCACUGUGCCAAUGAGAGACAAAGAAGGAAAACAGGAUUAUCGGUUCAUGCCAGAGCCAAACCUUCCUCCAUUGAUUCUGUAUGAUGCUAAGUCUUUGCCAGCUAAUGUGAGUCAUCAGCAAGUGGUAAAUAUUGAUUGGAUUCAUGAGAGACUUCCUGACCUCCCCAGUGUGAAGAGAGCAAAGCUUGUUGAACAGUACGGGAUUCUUCCUGAACACAGCUUCACCUUAUUGCAGAAUGAAGAUGGAUUAACAGAAUUCUUUGAAAAUGUUGUAAAACAGACACAAAUGAAGCCAAGGAAAGUAAUCGGCUGGAUUCUGAAUGACUUGCUCAGUUAUUUGAAACAGCAUUCCCUUACAGUAAAGGAAAGCCCAGUCAGUUCUUUUCUCCUGGCUGACCUUCUGAACCUUCUAGAAAAAAAGGAAAUUUCUGCAGCAGCAGCAAAGCAAAGGUCUCUGAAGCAGUUUGUCUGAUGUGCAAGUGGAAGCAGCUUCUAGCUCUGCCCAUGUGCAGGGCUGGAAUGUGUCCUGGAUGAGAUGACCUGCACAGAUACAUGCUGUGGCCCACCCCAGAGGCGCCAUUUUGAAGCCUGCAGUGGGAGGUGCUGGUGCUGCUCACCCAGAGCCGAAACCACUCUAAUGGAGAACAUGCACAAGAUGGGGCCUCCAUCCCCAUUUGCAGGGCUGGCAGUGAGUACAUCUCUAGCACAAGGGGCCUGCCUUUGAGUUAUGGCUUUAGGGAAGGAGGCUGGAUUCUGUGCCAGGGAAGCAGGAACUUGCCCUUGCUGCCAAGAGCUGUGCUGGAGCAGCUCUGUGUGGACAGCCUUGUCACGCAUUCACUGGGGAUCUGUAGCAGGGUGUGGAGCAGAGCAGACCCCAGGUCUUGUUUGCUUCUGCAGUUGCGUAGGUCACCCACACAGGAAUAACUUCAAGAGAGCCACUUGGCACCCCUACUUUAAAGCAGAUAGCAGGGAAAUGAGUACAGUACACAAACCUAAACAGAACCAUCUGCUUUGACAAUUACGGCUGUACCAUCUGGAGGACUGGACCCAGGCUGCCCUUCACUUUUGUCAGAGGCUGAGGGACAGCUGCCAGACAUUGAGGCUUCCAUUGCUGGAAAGGAGAGAUGCCCACAGGACUGACUCAAGUGGUACUGCCUGCUGCUUCCCUUCCUCCCUCCCUUGGCAGCACAUCACUGCAGAUAGAGUUUCCAGUUGGAGCGUUCUCAGGCACAACAGUCAGCUGGCACGUUCACCAGUUGCAAAAUGUUUGAUAUGAUGCCCGUGGCAGCCAGACAUGUAAGUCCUGAUUAAUUCAUUUUGACCAAUGGUUUGCUGCUAUGCCUGUGUAGGUAGAGACUGCAAAACAUUAAAAUCUAAUCACGCCCAGACAGGAAUCAAUAGUAGAAACUACUGAGAUUUCAGUAAUGGAAAUGAGGCCUGAGAUUCUCCUUUUUGGCUCUGGAGACUUCACUAUUUGAUCCUCCUGUUCUGGUGCAGGCAGUUUGUGUAAAUGAGUUGAAAUAAUUUUUUAAACUGCUUUCUUUAGAUUCAUACUCUUUGCCAAGAGGAGAAACACUUUCUUGAAAGUGAAUCUUUGACAGGUCUUGGCCACAUCUCUGUCUGCUUUCCUACAUACCUGUAAACAAGCAAGGGCCUUGAUAACAUUGUUGCUCUACUAGGGAAGUGGAGAUGCUUGUUACCAAAUUGAAAAGUACACAUGAUGCAGAUGUCACAGGGAAAAUGUGGUGCCUUCAAGGUUUCUAAUGGGCAGGCUUUUCUCAGUGCCAGGAGAAGUCUGGCACAGGAAUAGCUGGAAAUCAGAGCUGGAUCUCUUGACUGUCAAGCUGUCCUGCCUCUGAUCUAAGUCAGCCUGAUGUAUGAAUUGCUCCUGGGUAAUUCUGCCACGGUCGGCUGCUUAGGUUUUGUUUGUUGCAGAUUUUCCCCUCCUGCAGCCCAUGGAAUCCUGCUUGAAUACAUACCAGUCCUAGAAAUCGCAUCUGCCUUUUUCAGGGAGAGCAGUGCGGCUUAUUUAUUGUCCAGCCUCUGAUUUGUGCAGUGCUUCAGGCUCUUCAGGGAGUUUUCCUAGGGGCUGUGCUGAGAGAAGAGGACAGGGCUCAUUCUGAGGGGUGAUAUACUGUCCUGGUGCCUCAGGAAGCCUCAGGGAGAGAAAACUUCCUGCCUGGUCCCUCAGAGGAAGGAAGGAGGGUGUCGCCUCGGGCGUCAGUGGAGUGCAACAAAAAAAAAGCAAGUGGCUGUCCACAGGACAAACCUCUAUUUGAUGUAUUUCUAGAGGUAUUCCAGGAAGCACUGGCACGAUGAUUUUUAAGUACUGCACUAGAAGAAAGGUCUUGUAGAAGACAUUGUAUACUGCACUGACUUAUUUAGAUAUAAACAGCUGAAAGAUAUACUUACAGCGGUUGUAACUGGCUGCUUAUCAGUGAGUUUAAUGAUGUGAUCUGCCUUUAACCCUCAUACAGGGAAAAAACGAGAUGCAGCUGCCACAAACAGCUCCGUAUCAUUACCCUCUCUCAAGGUCUCCAGCAAAGUAGUAAGAUCCAUAAAAAGCUUUGGGGUACUUCUGGUAAACAAAUCUUCUCUUGCAGGAAUUGUGUCAACAUAUGGUUCUUAAAUACCUGUUGUGGCUACAAAAUUGUUUCACUUGAGGGGUUUUUGCAUCAGAAAAUUCUUCCUGCUGAAGAAAACUGCUGGAGUAGUUGACAACCCAUCCCACAUGGGAUAGCAUCCCAUCAUUUUUCCUAAGUUGUCUUGCUGCUCUGCUGAUUAUUUAACAUGCCAUUUGAAUGCCCCUUCUCAUCUUCCCCAUCCCAGCCUCUUCUUCAUCCUACAGUGCUUGCAGAAUUGUGGAAGGGAGAAGGGAAGACUCCUCUUGAAAUUGUUAAAGAAAAGAAACUCGAACUGAUACAGGAUCAAAAAGAGCUUGAACAGAUCUGCCAGGUGGUGAUUGAUGGACAUGAAAACGAGGUGAU